rnacentral:rRNA from 1 species
CUGCCAGUAGUCAUAUGCUUGUGUUAAAGAUUAAGCCAUGCAUGCCUAGGUAUAGGUGGACAAAGAACCGAGACUGCGGAUGGCUCAUUAAAUCAGUCAGAAUUAGUUUGGUGAAGCGUGGAAUGGAGAAGGAUAACCCUGUGAAUUGUAGAGCUAAUACAAGAAGAUAUUUCAUGGUGGUGACACCGGUGGAAUAGCAUUUAUCAGCUCUGGUUUUGGUGUGUGUGGUUUGCUGAGCCUGAAUGGGUGUGGUGACACAUGAGCUGGAAGGGGUGGUGACAAGGAGAGUGUGCUGAAGGGGUGUGUGGCUCAGUAGUCCAGGAAGCAAAAGGAAAAGCACAGUGGUGCCAGUGUUGUGCUGUUAUAGGCAAGAUGCUGGGAGCAAGGACAAGGGCAACGGGGACAUGUGAGUGACACUUUGGCAAGAGGACGACUUGUGACCACUUGGCAAGACAUCCGUGUGAGGAGCAAUGAACAAGGAUAAAUAGGGGAAAGCAUCAUGUUUGCCUCUUUUGGGGUAGGUGUGUUGUGGACGCCAGACAGCGAGUCGUGAGAUGCUUGAAGGGAGACCUUUGAGGACGAUGGACCAAAGAAAAGACUGACCUAUCAAGUUGAUGGUAGGAUAGGGGCCUACCAAGCUAAUAACGGGUGACGGGGAAUUAGGGUUUGACUCCGGAGAGGGAGCCUGAGAAAUGGCUACCACUUCCAAGGAAGGCAGCAGGCGCGUAAAUUACUCAGUGCCGAAAGGGCGAGGUAGUGACGACAAAUACUGAUGUUUUCUUGGCUUUUGGCUGAGGGAGCAAUUGGAAUGAAGCAGACAAGACAUGAUAGAGUAGCAAUUGGAGGGCAAGUCUGGUGCCAGCAGCCGCGGUAAUUCCAGCUCCAAGAGUGUAUAUUAAAGCUGUUGCGAUUAAAACGCUCGUAGUUUAUAUUGUGGUUGUGUGUUUGUGUGUGGCUAUUCUUUUCAUGGCUUCUUUAUAGAGGGGUAGUGAGAGAGACACACACUGGUGCAUGACAGGUGGUUCAGUUUGGAGAUUGUGCUUGGAUGGACGGUUAGGAAGAACUGGAUGGAAUACUUUGAACAAAAUAGGACGAUAGAGGUAGGUAGUAUAGUAUGAUGGAUAUAUUAGCAUAGGAUAAUAGAGGUGUAUAAGAGGCGUGUGAUAGUGGAGCACAUGGCAAGGGACAAGAAAUCUGUGGUGGUUGUGAUUGUGGAAAUGGUUUUUUGAGUGGCACUAGGUGACUGAUGGGACACUUUGUGUGCUUAGGUCAAGUUGUGGUGGUCAAGAAAAGAGUGAGUGGGGACACACACGGACAGGCAAUUGGAACGAGGACAGAGAAAUAGGCCUUUAGUGGCAGACCUUGGCGUGAGCGAGGACAUGGCGGAGAGACAGAAGCAGUUAGACAGACAAAGAAUAGGAACAAAGGGGGUGGUAGAUAUUUUCCUGAGAGAGGUGAAAUUCAAUGACCAGGAAAAGAUAGACGAGAGCGAAAGCAUUCCACAAAGAUGUUUUCAUAGAUCAAGAACGAAAGUUGGGGGAUCGAAGACGAUCAGAUACCGUCGUAGUCUC